ACUCGGUACCCGGAAUGUUUUUCAUUGCCGCAAACCCAUCAACCGAAUCCCGUGCUUCAAUCCCUCUUCCACGCCCUCAACCCCAUAUAUCUGAUCAUCCGCUCUCAGAAUUCAAACUCCAAUCAACCCGUUCCUCUCAGACUCAUUACAGAAAGCUUUAUCAUGGAGAGAGGCCACAAAUACCGUGCAUAGGCUGAGCUGCGAGAAGCAAAGCUGAGAAUGAAGGAAAUAAAGCAACAUGAACCGGAACGAUGUUGAAGAUGAAGUUGUUUCUUUUAGCUAUGGAUGUGAAUGUCAGAUAUGAUUGUAAUAUACUGAUGGAGAUUCCGUGUAUCUCUCUUCUUCUGUAAUGGGAUUUUAAAGACUAGAGGACAUGGCUAUCUGUCUGUAUUGGUUGAAAUUCCAUCUAAGAGCUUUAUGGAAAAAAGGGGUUAAUUGGCAUUCAACCAAAAAAAAAAAAAAAAAAGUCUCCCCUCUCAUCGAUAUUACUCCUAAACAUUUGGAAUUCAGAAACCCAGUAAAUCACAAAACGAACAUACGCAUUCACCGGCUAGCACUCAUAGAGUUAUAUUCACCUUCAAUGGCCCAGAACGAUCAGACACAACACUCGACGAUGGUCUACUAUUGGAAAGGUCUCAGGCCAGUGGCACUCACAGAGUUAUCUACAUUUUUUGAGUUAAAGAUUGAUAGACAGUAAUGGCCCAUGGGGAGCGGAAUGAGAUUAUAUAUGUCUCUAUAGACAGUAAUGGCCCAUGGGGAUGACGACGACGACGAUAAUGGGGUCACGGGGAUGACGGUGAGUCGGCGACGAUGGGGUCAUAAAGGAGGCUAGGGUUUCUACAAUCUGAGUAUUGAGUAGAGAGAGAGAGAGAGAGAGAGAGACGGGGAUUUUAACCCGUUUUGACACUGGUGGUUUUUAAAAAAAACCCGGGUUUGGGGUUUUAAACCCAUUACCCAGCCCGGGUGUACCUGGGUUUUGGAGGACGGGUACCGACCUGGGUUUGUUCCGGGCAGGAACUCGUAACCGGAACCUGGUUAUCCUCGAUUCCAAUCCUAAUCUCAGUGGUUGGUGGAGGAGGAGUGAUUCUUAUGUGGAUGUCAUUGCUACUGAUCAUGCAAACUCCUUUGAAAUACCCUUCAUUUCCCCAUCUUUCAGAAUUAUUAGUAGAAAACUGCCCCAUGUUGACUUCAUUGCCAAUGUUUCCACAUCUUGAAGUUGGGUUAUUUCUACAAAAAGUCAGCUAGAAGCUAGAUAUCUCCUCCUCUGCAUUGGCCUCUACACCCAUUGCCUUUUCAUUUGUGACUCUACAAGAGAUAGCAAGGAGGCGGAAGAAGAGCAAAGGAAAGAAAUAUAGGAAGGGGUUGUGGAGGAGAUCGAGGAGUACUGGACUCAAGAGGCUGCAACGUUGAGGCUGUGUAAUUUCACGACAACAAUUUCAACUGGGCCUGUAUAUUUCUCAAGCAUGGAAAAUUAAGGUAAUUUGAUUUUUGGCUGAACGUGGUUGCUUUUCUAGUCUAGAUUACUGCUUCUGCUUCUGCAACAGAUACAACUUUUCUCAAGACUAUCUAUUAUGUCUAAGCUUACAGGGAUGAUUUAGUUUGCAUGUUGGAGCACAUGUAUAUGAAUAUGAUAUAUAGCUACAUGAUGGAUGAUGCGACCAAUUGCUUUGAUCUCCUUUAUUUGUGCAUACUCUCCAAGAACAUUUUCUACCAUCAAUAAUCUUGCAGCUGGCUGUUGCACAGAAAAUAAGGAUUUUCAACUAAUAUUGGGUUGGAAAAUCAUCUGGUUUUCUUCAUAUGGGGGAGUCACCUCUCGGCAGUUACCUACCCAGGUUUUAGCCGCUUCAAAGUCUUCAGUACCUGAAUUUGCAAUUUCAGACUUUUUUUCCUAUUGUUCAUUUUUUUUCCCGCUAAAAUUUAUGGUGUUAUGGUGUAUUCAUUUGUAAAUUUUUAGCAGCUUCUAUGUCAUUUUCUUCACAGUGAACUGUUAAAUAACUCUUGUAAUUUGCGGUGCGCUUUUGGUGUGUACCCAAUUAUGACUAGAAUAUUGAGCAUG